rnacentral:rRNA from 1 species
AGAGUUUGAUCAUGGCUCAGAACGUACGCUGGCGGCACGCCUUAUACAUGCAAGUCGAACGAAGUAGCAAUACUUAGUGGCAGACGGGUGAGUAACAUGUGGGUAUCUUCCCUUUGGUGAGGAAUAACACGAGGAAACUUGUGCUAAUACCUCAUAAGUCUUUACGGAGAAAGCUUUAUGCGCCAAUGGAUGAGCCCGCACUUGAUUAGUUUGUUGGUAGGGUAAUGGCCUACCAAGACUGUGAUCAAUAGCUGAUCUGAGAGGAUGAUCAGCCACAUUGGGACUGAGACACGGCCCAAACUCCUACGGGAGGCAGCAGUAGGGAAUAUUGCACAAUGGAGGAAACUCUGAUGCAGCGAUGCCGCGUGAGUGAAGAAGGCCCUUGGGUUGUAAAGCUCUUUCGUCGGGGAAGAAAAUGACUGUACCCGAAUAAGAAGGUCCGGCUAACUUCGUGCCAGCAGCCGCGGUAAUACGAAGGGACCUAGCGUAGUUCGGAAUUACUGGGCUUAAAGAGUUCGUAGGUGGUUAAAAAAGUUGGUUGUGAAAUCCCGAAGCUUAACUUCGGAACUGCAAUCAAAACUUUUUAGCUAGAGUUUGAUAGAGGAAAGCAGAAUUUCUAGUGUAGAGGUGAAAUUCGUAGAUAUUAGAAAGAAUACCGAUUGCGAAGGCAGCUUUCUGGAUCAUUACUGACACUGAGGAACGAAAGCAUGGGUAGCGAAGAGGAUUAGAUACCCUCGUAGUCCAUGCUGUAAACGAUGUGUGUUAGACGUUGGAAAUUUAUUUUCAGUGUCGCAGCGAAAGCAGUAAACACACCGCCUGGGGAGUACGACCGCAAGGGUUAAAACUCAAAUGAAUUGACGGGGACCCGCACAAGUAGUGGAGCAUGUGG